AGAGUUUGAUCAUGGCUCAGAACGAACGCUGGCGGCAGGCUUAACACAUGCAAGUCGCAGGAGAAGGAGGCUUCGGCUUCCGACACUGGCGGACGGGUGAGCAACGCAUGGGGACCUACCUGGGGUGGGGGACAACCGCUGGAAACGGCGGCUAAUACCGCAUACGCCCUUUGUUUAGGCAUUGGGGAAAACUCCGGUGCCCUGGGAUGGCCCCCGCGUCGGAUUAGCUUGUUGGUGGGGUAACGGCCUACCAAGGCGAGGAUCCGUAGCUGGUCUGAGAGGAUGACCAGCCACACUGGAACUGAGACACGGUCCAGACUCCUACGGGAGGCAGCAGUGGGGAAUAUUGGACAAUGGGGGCAACCCUGAUCCAGCCAUGCCGCGUGGGUGAAGAAGGCCUUAGGGUUGUAAAACCCUUUCAGCGGGGAAGAUGAUGACGGUACCCGCAGAAGAAGCCCCGGCUAACUCCGUGCCAGCAGCCGCGGUAAUACGGAGGGGGCUAGCGUUGUUCGGAAUUACUGGGCGUAAAGGGCGUGUAGGCGGUUUGCCAAGUCAGAUGUGAAAGCCCCGGGCUUAACCUGGGAACUGCAUUUGAGACUGGCAGGCUAGAGGUUGGAAGAGGAGAGUGGAAUUCCCAGUGUAGAGGUGAAAUUCGUAGAUAUUGGGAAGAACACCAGUGGCGAAGGCGGCUCUCUGGUCCACACCUGACGCUGAGGCGCGAAAGCGUGGGGAGCAAACAGGAUUAGAUACCCUGGUAGUCCACGCCGUAAACGAUGUGUGCUAGACGUCGGAUGUUCCGCAUUCGGUGUCGCCGCUAACGCAUUAAGCACACCGCCUGGGGAGUACGGCCGCAAGGUUAAAACUCAAAUGAAUUGACGG
rnacentral:rRNA from 1 species